rnacentral:lncRNA from 1 species
UUUCUUUGGAGAUUUUAAUUGCUCGUAACUCAAACGUGAGACAGAAACAUCUUGACAGCUCACACAGUAGGUCCAUUGACCCAUAAUCCAGGCACAGUAUUAAAGGAGUCAGUCUUGCUGAAAACAGUGUUUUCCUGACCAGACAUAUCUGCUGGAGCUGAAAUAGUAACUCCAGGCUGAGCUGUGAGGAGAGGUGAAGAAUCUGAGGGAAAGUGAUGGUAAGCAGAGGCACUGUUUGAGGGGUGGCUUCUUUUCUGAGCUGCCUUGAGGAUGUAGCACAAGUGUGGAGAUGAAAACUGAUUUGUAGGGUGACUUAGCACUGCUGCAGGGAUUCUGGGACCUGCUGCUGUUGUGGCAGCCCUGAGAGCUGUGGGAAGUUCCCCCAGCAGGUAACCAUGGUGUUACACAGUGUAUGAGGCUUUUCCUUUGGAUUACCCCUCACUGCUUGAUGUGGGAGAGAGCUAUGGAGUGCCAGUUGUCUUGCAGUCCCUGCUUCUCCUUCUUUUCCACCCUGCAAACUUGCAGUGCCAUCUCUCCUUCCCCUGUAGUCAGGGGGUUCUGGCCCUCCCUGCUCUUGGCUCUAGUGAUGCCACUUCUCAUUGCUGGGCUGCAGAUGGGAAAAGCUCCUCUGCAAAGUCAAGCCCAGAGGAAAAGGGGCUCUGUUUCAGAGCCCCUUCAGGUCUCAAAGAACAGGAUAGAGGACUCUUCCCCAGCCAGAACACUCCUUAGGGUAGAGGUGAGUAGCAGCAAUAGGGAUUUGAAUGGAACAGAGGAAAAUGCAAAGCAGCAAGGGAUAAGCCUGUAGUGUAGCUGUUAGCCUGACAUAAUUUCAUGAAAAGAAGACCUCAUGGUUAAGAGGCUUCCUGUGGGCUUCUGUGUGUUUCAGACAUUGCAGAUUGUGUUUUGGUCUUGGACUUCUAAGAGCCUUUGAAAAGUUGGGAGAUUCAUGGUCUCUUAAAAUAUGACUGUGGUUUGCUUCAGAGUUUGAAUUUCUUUCUGUUUUCACUUCCCUCUUUUCUACCAGCAUGCUUAGUUAUUUAAAACACAGAUAUGAGGGAUAGUUGUGAAAUAGUCAUUUAUCACUAGCCCAGGUCUUUGAUGGUUAGCAGGCCUUUUUAGUGCUUCC